UUUGUAAGAAACACCAUUGAUAUUUCUCACUAUAACAGUACAAUUUUGAAUAGUUUAACUGACACAAUGUAUUUGCUCAAGCUUUAGACUGGAAGCAGUGGUGGAGGAAGUAUUCAGAUCCUUUAAUCAAAUAAAAGUACUACCAUGUUGAGAAAAAGAUACAUUGAAAUCUUACUUUACCAAAACAGCCACGUGUGGGUUCGUGUUUCAGAGGCACUCGGCCCCUGCUGACUUCCCUCCACCAGGCUCCCGCCAGGAAAUGAACGGCCUCAUACUAAUGAGAUCCUCUUCCAUGUCCCUUGAGACUCUCUGGAUUCCCACCUCUCCACAGGAACUUGUGUAGAUGUUUGUCCUUCUCACACGGGAGAGAUGGAAAGGAAACCGCACCGAAGAACUUCUGUCUGCGUGAUAAGUGGUCGUCAGAGGGUUGGACACGUGGAGACGAAUCAUUUGAACGUCCUGCGACCAUAACACGACUAUGGGAGUAAUACAUUAUUUGUGACUUGCUCUUCUCUGUGAGGACUAUUGACAACGCCUGAAGAUGAUCCCGGUACACUUCUCCAAUUGUCUGGGAUUGAUCAGUG
ensembl:lncRNA